rnacentral:rRNA from 1 species
AAAUGCGUAGAUAUCGGGAAGAACACCAGUGGCGAAGGCGGCUUACUGGCCAGCAACUGACGCUGAGGCGCGAAAGCCAGGGGAGCUGAACGGYGAUUAGAUACCCCGGUAGUCCUGGCCGUAAACGAUGAAUGCUAGGUGUGGGUGUCGAGAGGCAUCCGUGCCGGAGUUAACGCGAUAAGCAUUCCGCCUGGGGAGUACGGUCGCAAGAUUGAAACUCAAAGGAAUUGACGGGGGCCCGCACAAGCGGUGGAGCACGUGGUUUAAUUCGAUGCAAACCGAAGAACCUUACCUAGGUUUGACAUGUACGUGGUACGGAUCUGAAAGGAGAAAGACCUAGCCCUUUCGGGCCAAGGAGCGUACACAGGUGCUUGCAUGGCUUGUCGUCAGCUCGUGUCGUGAGAUGUUGGGUUAAGUCCCAACGAGCGCAACCCCUUGCAUUCAGUACCAU